GACGAACGCUGGCGGCGUGCUUAACACAUGCAAGUCGAACGGAGUGGCGAACGGGUGAGUAACACGUGAGUAACCUGCCCUUGACUUCGGGAUAACUUCAGGAAACUGGGGCUAAUACCGGCUAGUUUUGGAUGGACUCGGGGCUUAUCAGCUUGUUGGUGGGGUAGUGGCUUACCAAGGCUUUGACGGGUAGCCGGCCUGAGAGGGCGACCGGCCACAAGGGGACUGAGAGACGGCCCAGUCGCGAACGGUAGGCAGCGGUGGGGAAUAUUGCACAGUGGGCGGGAGCCUGAGGCAGAAGCGCCGGGUGUGGAAUGAAGGCCUUCGGGUUGUAAACCGCUUUAAGCAGGGGCGCGGUACCUGCAGAAGAAGCACCGGCUAACUACGUGCCAGCAGCCGCGGUAAUAC
rnacentral:rRNA from 1 species